rnacentral:lncRNA from 9 species
AGUGACACCAAAAGUUGUUUAUUUGAAAAGAUUAACAAAAUUUACAAGCCAUUUUAAGUUAGAUUGGUCAAGGGAAAAAAGAGAAAGACUCAAACUACCUAAAACAGGAACAAAAGAAAUUAACAAAUGAAAAGGAUUAAGAGGGAAUACUAUGAAUAACUAUCUGCUAACAAAAUAGAUAAAUGAAAUGGACAAAUUCCCAGAAAUACACAAAAAAACUACUGAAACCCAUAUAAGAAGAAAUGAAAAGUAUGACUUGGCCUAUAAGUAAAGAGAUCAAAUUAGUAAUUUAAAACUUUCCACAAAGAAGAAAAGGGAACCCUUCUACACUGUUGAUAAGAGGGAAAAUUGGUGUAGUCACUAAGGAAAACAGUAUGGAAAUUCCUUAAAAAACUAAAAAUAGAGUUGCCAUAUGAUUCUGCAAUCCCACUCCUGGGCAUAAAUCCAGCCAAAACUAUAAUUCAAAAAGAUACAUUCACGCCUAUGUUCAUUGCAGCACUAUUCACAACAGUCAAGUCAUGGAGACAACCCAAAUGUCCAUCGACAGAUGAAUGGAUAAAGAAGUUGUGGUAGAUAGAUAGAUAGAUAGACAGACAGACAGACAGAUGAAUAUAGAUACAGAUAUGGAUACAGCCAUUAAAAAAGAAUGAAAUAAUGCCUAGAAAUUACCACACUAAGAGAAAUAAGUCAGAAAGAGAAAGACAAAUACCAAUAUGAUAUCAUGUUUAAGUGGAACCUAAAAUAUGACACAAAUGAACUUAUCUGUGAGUCUUAAACAGAAACAGACUCACAGAUAUAGAGAACAGACUUGUGAUUGCCAAGCAGGAGGGGAGUAGGAAGGGAAGGACUGGGAGUUUGGGAUUAGCAAGUACAUACUACUACUUGUAGAAUGGAUAAACAGAAGUUCCCACGUGGCUCAAUGCAGUGGCGUGGGUUGCUUCUGUGGCCCAAGUUCAAUCCCUGGGCUGGAAACUUCUUAUGCCACAAGAGCAACCAAAGGAAAAAAAAGAAAAGAAAGUAUAGCACAGAGAAUUAUAUUCAAUAUCCUGUGAUAAACCAUAAUGGAAAAUAAUAUACAUAUGUAUAACUGAAGCACUUUGCUGUACUGCAGAAAUUAACACAUUGUAAAGCAACUAUUAAAGCAACUAUACAUCAAUAAUUUAUUUUUUAUUUCCACAGAGAAAAGCCUUAGGUCCUGAUGGUUUCACUAGUGAAUUUUACCAAACAUUCAGAAAAGAACUAAUAUAAACUCUUUGAAAUUGUUCAGAAAACAGAAGAGGAGUAGACACUUCUCAAUCCAUCCUGAGGCUAGUAUUACCCUGAUACCAAAUUAGACAAAGAUAGUACAAGAAAAGAAACCAAAGAUCUAUAUUGCUUAUGAAUACAGAAGUAAAAAUUCUCAACAAAACUAGCAAACCAUGGAGUUCCCGUCGUGGUGCAUCUUGUAAUUCCACCUUUCUAUGUGGCUAUUUCCUCUGUCUGAAAUGUCUACUGGGUCCCCAGCCCUUCUACCCAUUCCAAGUUAGUUAAUUCCCACUCCUUACCUGUCCCUAGCUUGAUGCUUUCCAGCCUGGACUCCAGGAGAGCUGUGGAUAUCCCUCUAGAGCACUUCUUACACUGCCAGCUGCUUCUCUAAUAAGAUGUGGGGCUGCUGGUGGGUACAUAGUAUCUCACUCAUGUCCAGAGCCCCAGUGUCAAUCAGAGUGCCUAGCACAUAAUGGUUACAGUUGGCUGCUGGCUAGGUUUCAAGGAGGAGGGUAGGAGAUGAUAAGCCUAGGACUGGAUUGUGGAGGGCACUCAGCCUUUUUUAACAGCAAAUCCUUUCAGGCCUGGCUAGAAAAGAAGAGCUUCCCUCUUUCGCCCCAGGAGGAUGAUCAGGCUCUUACCAUCUGAGGCCCAGCAAGGCUAGGGUUCCAAGCUUGCACUCCAGGACCCAGAAUAAGCCUCUCUGCAUGAGCAUGUGUCCAUUCAUUGGUCUCUCUUUUUCUUCUCCUUUCCCAGGACACUCUUCCAACUCUCCUAACCCAGAGUUCUCAACAGCAGCCCUACUGACAUUUUGAACUAGAUUAUUCUUUGUUGUGAGCAUCAUCUUAGACAUUGUAGGCUGUUCACAACAUCUCUGGCUCUACCAGCUAUAUGCAGCAGCAACACAGCUCACCCUCCCAGUCACAACAUCCAAAAUGUCUCAACAGCAAUGUCCCCUGGAGAGUAAAACCCCUAGUUGAGAACUACUGCCUUAACCAAACCCAUCCAUCCAUCCAUCCACCCAUUCAUUCAUAGGCAACAUUUAUAAAGCUACCAUCUUAGCCUUCCUCAAGACUUUCAGAGACUUAUGUUAUCAACGUGUUUCUCAUUACUUUACUAGACAGUAUUUCAUUAGUUUUUUGGUAUUGUAACCCCCUUUAUAUACAAUACUUAAAAACUCACAGUUAAGCUUUUCAUAGCAUCUUUCCACAUCCAUCUUCUGGAUAAAAAUUUCCUGGAACACAUCAUCUUCAUUUACUGCAAUAAUUCUUAAAUAGAGUGGUUUACUGCAGAUUAUAUAGAAAGUGGUUUACUGCAGAUUAUACAGAAAGUUAACGUACAUUUAAAGAAAAUGACUAUAACAUGGAACACUUUGUUUCCUAAGAUGGUAUGUGCAAAUAGACACACACAACCCUCACCCCAAGAAAAAUAAGCAAUGGAGGAGGGGUUACACACAGACUCAGGAGAGAGUUUCCUAGGAUAUGAAUUCUGCUUGAAGGUUUAGGGAGUUAUUAAGAAUAAACCAGGAGUUCCUGCUGUGGUUUAGUGGGUUAAGGAUCUGGCAUUGCUGAGGCUGUGGCGUAGGUCACAGAUGCAGCUUGGAUUCAAUCCCCAGCCCAGGAACUUCCAUAUGCUGUGGGUGCAGCCAGAUAAAAAUAAAUAAAACAAAAGUUUUUAUGUCAAAAGCAACAUGAACAGGAGUUCCUGUCGUGGCUCAGUGGUUAACAAAUCCAACUAGGAACCAUGAGGUUGUGGGUUCAAUCCCUGGCCUUGCUCAGUGGGUUAAGGAUCCGGUGUUGCCGUGAGCUGUGGUGUAGGUCGCAGACGUGGCUUAGAUCUGGCAUUGGUGCGGCUCUGGCAUAGGCCGGAAGCUGUAGCUCCAAUUAGACCCCUAGCCUGGGAACCUCCAUAUGCCGUGGAUGCAGCCCUAGAAAAAGACCAAAAAAAAAAAAAAAAAGCAGCAUGAAUAAUUUGGCGUGAAUUCUUUGCAUGAACUGUAAUAUAAGUCUUUGGCAAAAUUGUUUUGCAAUGAAUCACAUAUCAAGCCACAGUCCCAGGCAGACCUGUGCUUCAGCAGAAACAUCGAGAAACCCUAGAUUAGUGGAGUACAGCAUCUUCAUUGAAUUAAACCUGCCAAGAACUUCAAGAAAACAUAUGCUCCAAACUCCAGCUUGGAGGCAGAUGUGGUUAUUUUUAAACCCAUCUUUUGGAAGAGGUAACUGCCUUGCCUAGAACUGGUAAUCUGUUCGGCAGUUCUCAUCAUGGAAACAGUAAGGAGAACAAGUGGUCAGGAAAACUGUAAUUUCUAAAUUCCCUUUGGAGGGUCUUUCCAGGUCUGAGUCAGUCUGUAACCUGAAUUUAGUUAUGUUAGGACAAGAAUGUCAUGUAUACUUGCUUUCUCUUCUUGUGGUGUUUCCUGCCCUCCCUCGCUUACAUCAGUUUAGUUGUGUGAAAUUCCACAUCAUAGCUAAAGCAAGAGCGAAUUAACAGUUGUGAGGUGAAACAGAUUGAAUUCUUAGGUUUGCUUUGUUACUGUCUCUUCUCUUCCCACCAGCAGUAUUUUCUGACAAAACUCUCCUUGCUUUUCUCCUUCCCCAAGCCCCACUAUCGGCAUAGGGUUUUGUUUUUUGUUUUGUUUUAGCACUGCCACAAGUUACAGAUUCAGGGCAAAAUACUGAACUCUCUUGGUCUUUUCUUUAGAGUACUGAAGUAAAUCUCAAAACCAUUCACACACCAAAUUUCCAUACAUCUGUAUAGUGUAGAAUUUUACUGACAGAAUCACUAUAACUAAUCACUGAUAACUAUCCUAUUAUUUAAAUAUAUGUUUUAAUACUUUAAAAAUCGUGUCUCACCUCUAGAUCCAAUGGGUUAUUAAAAGAUGAAAUGCAGCAGCAAUUUCUAAUAUUAAAAAAAAAAUAUUUAGGGAAAAAUGUCAUCAGCCCACUUCCUUGUAAACAGACCCGCUCUUAGCAACAAGAGUAGCAAUAAACAAAGGAGCAAUAAUUGUUUUUUUCUCUAGUUAGUGUUGCUAGUACACAAAGUAAAUCAGCAUAGCCUGUGGCCCCAGGGAGUACAGGUAGCAACCUACCAGCCAGGUUCUCUAAUGCUUUACUAAGCCAAGUGAUCCAAUGCUGUCUUCACCCAUUCCAGAUAAUUCCCAGAUAGCUAAGUACUUGGUCUGAGAAGCUUAUAAUCACAAAGCCAUAAACUUGAACUAAACAGUUAUGACCCUAAAUAGGAAGGAGGUUGGGUAGAGGGAGUAAAGUCCAAAAUUAGAGGAAAGGAAGAUGUACCAUAACAAAAUGAUUAGAGUGGCUAUCAAGUGAGAAAUAGGAUCUAAAGAUAGCAGUGUAACCCAACUUACACCAAAGUGCUUCCUGAGACUUUAUCAAUGUUCUCAUUCCUCCCUCAUCCUCCCUGGCCUCACACAACCUUCUCCCCAAUCACAGUGGAGGCUCAUUAAGAAAUGAGGCCAAUUUUACAUUGGACUUUUUCAGUUAUGUGAAAGUAAAUGCUUUACUUUUGGGAGGCUUAAGUUCAAACACGGGUUACCCUAGUGAUUUAAAAAUUAAUUAUAUUAUGGUUACUAUAAUAAAACUAGAAGUAUGUGUUUCCCCUACUCAGAACGGUUAAGAAUUUUUAAAAAGUGUUCUAUGUGAAAAUCGACAUUAGGUGUCACUGUACAACAUAAGAUUAACGCAGGCAUGUCAUCUGCUUUGUGCUGAGAAAAAUCUAACAAUCCAAAUCAAUCAUUUUAUAUUCAAAGAUUUAAGUUGUUUUUAGAAUAUCCAUGCAAAAAGUUUUAAAAUUACCCAACAAAAGAUAUGUUGUACUGAUAAAACCAAUUAAUUAGGACAAUUAAGUCCUCAAUUUGUUUUCUUAGAAACACAAUCUCCUCUCAUUGGUUUCUUCUUUUGGGUUCUCAUUUUACUGACUUUCCUGUUCUUAUUAAGUCAUUCCAUAAAUGUGAAGUAAAUGUUCAAGAUUUUCUUGUGUUCCAUGAGCUACAUUUCCUUCCAGGUUGUCUUGAGUCUUUUACACUCUGACCUGUGUGUGACACAGGGCUCUUCGUAGUGUACCACAAAAUGGCAGCAUCUGCAUUAUCUGAAAGCUUGACUAAAGUGCAAUUACUGAGGCCCCUCUUAGACCAACUGAAUCAAAACCUCUAGGGAAUCCAGGAAUUUGUCCCAAUGAUUCUUAGGCAUAUUUACAUUUUAAAAUCACUGCUCUUACACAUUUUGCCUAGUUAUCACAUUGUUUCUUUUUAUUUAACUCAUGUUUACCUUACAUAGGCAACAGAAGACAUUCUACAAGUCUUGAUAGAGGAUGGGUGAUGUAACCCUCUUCCCACCAUAUCUUCAACCAAUUUCCAUUUUUCUUCAAGACAGAGUCCAGAUCUGGGUGUUACUUCUUGCUAGUCUAAAGCCUAGGGAAAAGGCACUAAGGACUGUAAAGAAAAUGGCUUAGCUAGACUUAAAAAAACAAAACAAAACUGAACUAUGCUUUCCCUUCUGAUUGUUAAACUGUCUAUAUUGGUUAAGAGAGAGGCUCUUUAUUUCUCUUCAGAUUUUGGGAUGUUAGUAUGACUUUUUCAGGGAUUCUGGAGGUUGUGCGUAAAGAAGGUCAAUAAUAUAAACUGGCUCCUCUUUGCUCUGCCCCAGCACAGAACACAUCACAGAGCUAUUAAUAGUUCAGCAACACUGAGGCACAACAACUGGACCACAAGGCUCAAGAAGCAGUUUAAGGUCCACGAGUAGUGUAGUAAGACUUGAGUGCUAGCUGGGAGGAAGCAGGGGUGGAGUGAGAUGGGUGAAUAUUAGCACUGGUUGAAUUAAGAAGCCAUUAAAAAUCAUUACUUGACAAUUUUUACAACAUAAAAUUUUCUAAAUACAAACUAUCAUAUAAAGU